UUGCCAUUGCUGCUGUUUCUCCGUUGUCUUUUCUGCCACUAAGCAACUACCACCAACCUGGCUGAAUAUACUAUACAUGCUGCUUCCUGUUACACCAGCACGGGCAUGCCGAGUAUACCUGAAUGGUCAUGUGAUAUGCGUUUUAGGCGUGUUAGUUAAAAUCCCAAU